rnacentral:rRNA from 1 species
ACGCUCGACACCUACGGGAGGCAGCAGUGGGGAAUAUUGCACAAUGGGGGAAACCCUGAUGCAGCGACGCCGCGUGGAGGAAGAAGGUCUUCGGAUUGUAAACUCCUGUUGUUGGGGAAAAAGAGGAUGGUACCCAACAAGGAAGUGACGGCUAACUACGUGCCAGAAGCCGCGGUAAUCUGAGCGGGCUGGCAAGGGC